GAGAGCAGAGAGAGGGGGAGACAGAGAGAGAGAGGAUGGUAGAGAGAGGGGGCAGAGAGAGAAGAGAGCAGAGAGAGAGAGAGAUACUUAGAGAGAGAGAGAGCUACAGAGAGAGAGAGAGAUACAGAGAGAUACAGAGAGAGAGAGAGAGAGAGAGAGAGAAGGAGAACUCUUCUACCUGUUGAAACCAUUGGCCCUUCUGCCUCUGGCUCCCCUCCACCACCUUUUAUUUAUGGUUGGUGGCUUGGUGUCUUUAACAGUCUGGCUCUAUGUGUUAAUAGACAGGAGGCUUGGUGUCUUUAACAGUCUGGCUC
ensembl:lncRNA